AUUGAACGCUGGCGGCAGGCCUAACACAUGCAAGUCGAGCGGAUGAAGGGAGCUUGCUCCUGGAUUCAGCGGCGGACGGGUGAGUAAUGCCUAGGAAUCUGCCUGGUAGUGGGGGAUAACGUCCGGAAACGGGCGCUAAUACCGCAUACGUCCUGAGGGAGAAAGUGGGGGAUCUUCGGACCUCACGCUAUCAGAUGAGCCUAGGUCGGAUUAGCUAGUUGGUGGGGUAAAGGCCUACCAAGGCGACGAUCCGUAACUGGUCUGAGAGGAUGAUCAGUCACACUAGAACUGAGACACGGUCCAGACUCCUACGGGAAGCAGCAGUGGGGAAUAUUGGACAAUGGGCGAAAGCCUGAUCCAGCCAUGCCGCGUGUGUGAAGAAGGUCUUCGGAUUGUAAAGCACUUUAAGUGGGGAGGAAGGGCAGUAAGUUAAUACCUUGCUGUUUUGACGUUACCAACAGAAUAAGCACCGGCUAACUUCGUG
rnacentral:rRNA from 1 species